rnacentral:rRNA from 1 species
GACGAACGCUGGCGGCGUGCCUAACACAUGCAAGUCGAGCGGAGAUAAGCGGAAGGUAACUGAAGCUUAUCUUAGCGGCGGACGGGUGAGUAACACGUGGGCAACCUGCCUUGAAGUGGGGGAUAACACCGGGAAAUCGGUGCUAAUACCGCAUAACAUACACAAACUGCAUGGUAAGUGUAUCAAAGGAGCAAUCCGCUUUAAGAUGGGCCCGCGGCUGAUUAGCUAGUUGGUAAGGUAACGGCUUACCAAGGCGACGAUCAGUAGCCGACCUGAGAGGGUGACCGGCCACACUGGAACUGAGACACGGUCCAGACUCCUACGGGAGGUAGCAGUGGGGAAUAUUGCGCAAUGGGGGGAACCCUGACGCAGCAACGCCGCCGUGGAGGAAGAAGGUCUUCGGAUUGUAAACUACCUGUCUUCUGGGACGAAUAAUGACGGUACCAGAGGAGGAAGACCACGGCGUAACUACGUGCCAGCAGCCGCGGUAAGUCAUACUCGUA